rnacentral:rRNA from 1 species
UACGUAGGGAGCAAGCGUUGUCCGGAAUCAUUGGGCGUAAAGCGCGCGUAGGUGGCCUCAUAAGUCCGCUGUGAAAGUCAAAGGCUCAACCUUUGAAAGCCGGUGGAUACUGUGAGGCUAGAGUACGGAAGAGGCGAGUGGAAUUCCUGGUGUAGCGGUGAAAUGCGCAGAUAUCAGGAAGAACACCCGUGGCUAAGGCGGUUCUCUAGUACGGUACUGACGCUGAGACGCGAAAGCGUGGGGAGCGAACAGG